GUCCUCGCGGAGUUUUAGUUGUGAGGUCUGGCCUGCCCACUGAAUAUUCGUUUAAAGGGCCGCGGUAUUCUGACCGUGCGAAGGUAGCAUAGUAAUUAGUCUUUUAAUUGAAGGCUUGAAUGAACGGCCGGACGAUGGGGAGCUGUCCUGUUGAAUGUGAUCUAAUUUGACUUCUGUGUGAAAAGGCACAGAUAAUCUAGUGGGACGAUAAGACCCUAUAAAACUUUAUAAAUUUGACUCGGUUCUUUGAAUUUUUAAAGGGGGGCUGGGUUUGAUUAUUAUAUUGGGGUGAUAGAGUUAAUAUUUUAAUAAACUGACUUUAAAAAUAAAAUAAAUCUGUUUAGAUGAUGACCCUUCUUUGUGGGUUGUAAGAUUAAGUUACUUUAGGGAUAACAGCGUGAUUUUUUCUGAGAGUUCUUAUCGACGGAGUGAGUUGCGACCUCGAUGUUGAAUUAAAGUUUCCCCCGGGAGCAGAAAUUUGGGCGGUAGGUCUGUUCGACCUGUGAUACUUUACAUGAUUUGAGUUCAAACCGGUGUGAG
rnacentral:rRNA from 1 species